CGGGGAGGUAGUGACGAAAAAUAACGAUACGGGACUCAUCCGAGGCCCCGUAAUCGGAAUGAGUACACUUUAAAUCCUUUAACGAGGACCAAUUGGAGGGCAAGUCUGGUGCCAGCAGCCGCGGUAAUUCCAGCUCCAAUAGCGUAUAUUAAAGUUGUUGCGGUUAAAAAGCUCGUAGUUGAAUCUGUGUGUCACAGUGUCGGUUCACCGCUCGCGGUGUUUAACUGGCAUUAUGUGGUACGUCCUACCGGUGGGCUUAGCUCCUCGCGGGCGGUCCAACUAAUAUCCCAUCGCGGUGCUCUUCACUGAGUGUCGAGGUGGGCCGGUACGUUUACUUUGAACAAAUUAGAGUGCUUAAAGCAGGCUACCUUCGCCUGAAUAUUCUGUGCAUGGAAUAAUGGAAUAGGACCUCGGUUCUAUUUUGUUGGUUUUCGGAACCCCGAGGUAAUGAUUAAUAGGGACAGAUGGGGGCAUUCGUAUUGCGACGUUAGAGGUGAAAUUCUUGGAUCGUCGCAAGACGGACAGAAGCGAAAGCAUUUGCCAAAAAUGUUUUCAUUAAUCAAGAACGAAAGUUAGAGGUUCGAAGGCGAUCAGAUACCGCCCUAGUUCUAACCAUAAACGAUGCCAGCUAGCGAUCCGCCGAAGUUCCUCCGAUGACUCGGCGGGCAGCUUCCGGGAAACCAAAGCUUUUGGGUUCCGGGGGAAGUAUGGUUGCAAAGCUGAAACUUAAAGGAAUUGACGGAAGGGCACCACCAGGAGUGGAGCCUGCGGCUUAAUUUGACUC
rnacentral:rRNA from 7 species